UCAGUCUGUCUGGUCUGAGCUGGCGUGGACAUUUGCUCUCUGGGUGCAUCGCAGAGACCUGCAGGGCCCUGGCGCUCAGAAGCCAGCGUGAGGUUCUAGGUCUGGGGCCGGGGCGGGCGACAGCGGGGCUCGGAGCCACAGCCACAGCCCUGCCUGACGUAGGUAAUUCACCCCUUUAAUAAUCAGAAGACGGAAAGAAGGAAAAGGUGCAGGCCAGAGGGAACCCGAAUUCCCUGUUGAGUGCGACUUUCUUUUUGAGGUCUGGUUUCUGGUCAGUGUCCCGAGGACAUUAUGCCAUGCAGGGCGGUUCUGAAUUGCCUGGGCCCAGCCUGGUGUUGCCACGGUCCCCACCCCACUCUGCAGCCCUGUCUGAUCCUGACCCAGUUUUCUUGCCCACCCCUGAGGCUCAAACACUGUGAUUUGAGCUCAGACAAGCCUGUACCAAAAUGUCAAGUGGUCUCCUCCAGCGGUGCCUAUCACCACCAGCCUGUGUCUCCCUGUGAAAUAUGGCCUGGUUCCAUCAUGGAUUUAUUUUCCUGCCUCCCAGUAGGACAGAUCUCAGCUCUUUAGGCCGACAACCCCUGACAGCAACUCAGCCACCUCCUGCCCUCACCCUUGGAGCCCUGUCUACUGAUGGCUCACUUGGAGCCUGGCUUGGGGUGACCUCUGUGCCAGGGUGUGCGGUCAUUUCCCUGGAUUCUUGUUAGAGUCCUCAUCUGCCCAAGGAGAUGAUGACCCUGAGCUACUAAGAACAGGCUUCCUUCAUGUCAGGACACAGAGACAAACAUGUGCACCAUGUAAGGGAAGGGAAGAUGGUAAAGAGAAAUUGGUGAACAAAUGCCGCGGCCAGGCAGGUGGCACGAAUGAGCUGAGUGUGGCAUCAGAGGGGUGGGAACUUGGUGCCGCUCAGCCUUGGCAGGCAGCUGCUAAGUAGGAAUGCACAAACACUGGCCAGAUCAUCUGAUUUUUAAAAAGCCAGAAAUAUGGACUUCUGUAUAAAAUUUUGUGAUUUUUAAAUGUUGGCAAUGUUCUUGCUUUUUUUCUUUUUAAUCCUGGAUAGGGUAAACCACCAGUUUCCAACUUCUGUACUAAAACAUGUUCUCUAGAUUUUUUUUUUUUUUUUUUUGAGACGGAGUCUCGCUCUGUCGCCCAGGCUGGAGUGCAGUGGUGCGAUCGCGGCUCACUGCAAGCUCCGCCUCCUGGGUUGACGCCAUUCUCCUGCCUCAGCCUCUGGAGUAGCUGGGACUACAGGCGCCCGCCACCACACCCAGCUAAUUUUUUGUAUUUUUAGUAGUGACGGGGUUUCACCGUGUUAGCCAGGAUGGUCUCGAUCUCCUGACCUCGUGAUCCGCCUGCCUCAGCCUCCCAAAGUGCUGGGAUUACAGGUGUGAGCCACUGUGCCUGGCCCCAUGUUCUCUAGAUUUUUAAAACUAAGAUUUUGUUUUAUAUAUUUAUAUGGAAAUACAGAAAAAUGCCCAGAAAAAGUGCCUAUAAUUUUCACUGUUAACAAAAUUAUAUAAAGUAAGAAGUAAAAGUAGCUCUAAGAUCCCCUUCACUUCUCCGGUUUGCUGAUGUGUGGUAGAGGAGGGGCCAUAGAGACGAAGGUCUGUAUGCGGAGGUCAGGUGAGCCCUGGAAGUGGGCAGGAUUUGGAAGGACUGACAAUGAGGAGACCUUGCCCUCAGGUAGGAAGACAGGGUUGAUCCUUAUCUUUGUUUCAAUGGCAGCUGCACUCUUGCAUGCAUGGUCCAGUUCUAUCUCCCGUUUUAUAUGUCCAUUGAACAUAACAAAUCCUAGUGUAACCACAGCCCUACCCAAGAACAUGAUGAGACACAACUCCCUAAGUUUUCCCCCCGAAAGUAACCAAAGAACUACUCUGACUUUGACACUUGUUAUCCUUUCUAGCUUGUCUCUUUUCUUAUAUACAUACAUAUAUACACAAAUAUAUAUAUAUAUAUAUAUAAAAUGCAUACACGAGUUUUGUCUUUUUGUUUUUAAACUUUAUAAGAAGGAUAUGAUAUAUGUGGGUGUUAGGGACAUUUUACUUCAUUCAUUCUCACUUGUUAUCCUAUUGUGGGAAUACUCCUCACUUUGCUUAUCUGGUGUCCUAUAGUUGAACAUUUGAGCUGCCUUCUACUUUUUUGUUAGCGUAAACAUUGAUGCUGAGCGUGAUCCCUGGGACAGGUCCUGAAUGUGGAAUUGUUGGGUAGCAGGGUGUGCAAAUAUUCAACCUAAUAGGAUUGUGCCAAAUUAUUUCCAAAAGUGGCUGUAUCAACUCACACUCCUACUGGCCAUGUGUAAGAGAUGUAAUUGGCCCACAGCCUUCCCAGUAUUUGCUAUUGUCAGACUUCUUAAAGUUUGCCUGUCAUAUGGGCAUAAAAUGAUUUCUGAUUGUGGUCUUGAUCUGUAGCUCCCUGAUAAUUAAUGAGACCAAGAAUCUUUUCAUGUGUAUACAUAUUGGCCCAUCGACAACACUGACUCUUCUGAGCCGUGAACAGCAUAUACCUUUAUGUAUUUAGUUCUUCUGUCUUUCAGUUGUAUUUUAUAGUAUUGUGUUGUAUGCAUUUUUCAUUAGAGUUGCUCCUUGUAUUUCAUAUUUUGUUCUAUUGUUAAAUCGGAUAUUGGUUUGAUUUCUUUUGGAUUGGUUUCUUACUGUUUAUUGCUGUAUUGUAUAUGUAUAGAAAGGUGCAAAUAUCACAAGUUUACAGCUUGAUGAAUUUUCAUUGGACUUACCUGUUUAACCUAGACCCAGAUGAAUAAAACACAGCUUCCCCAGCACCCUAA